rnacentral:rRNA from 1 species
CCUACGGGUGGCAGCAGUAGGGAAUCUUCGGCAAUGGACGCAAGUCUGACCGAGCAACGCCGCGUGAGUGAAGAAGGUUUUCGGAUCGUAAAGCUCUGUUGUCAGCAAAGAACAGGAGAAAGAGGAAAUGCUUUUUCUAUGACGGUAGCUGACCAGAAAGCCACGGCUAACUACGUGCCAGCAGCCGCGGUAAUACGUAGGUGGCAAGCGUUGUCCGGAUUUAUUGGGCGUAAAGCGAGCGCAGGCGGUGAUUUAAGUCUGAUGUGAAAGCCCCCAGCUCAACUGGGGAGGGUCAUUGGAAACUGGAUCACUUGAGUGCAGAAGAGGAGAGUGGAAUUCCAUGUGUAGCGGUGAAAUGCGUAGAUAUAUGGAGGAACACCAGUGGCGAAGGCGGCUCUCUGGUCUGUAACUGACGCUGAGGCUCGAAAGCGUGGGUAGCAAACAGGAUUAGAUACCCUGGUAGUC